rnacentral:lncRNA from 1 species
UUUUUUUUUUUGUCAAUAUGGUUUUUUGCAAUUUGAAUCGGUUUCUCGAUUCCACAGGUUUUAUGGCCACCCCUGUUCCUUUCCACGUAAUUUGAUUGGUUAGGGUCCGCAAGUAGCUGUGAACUUGAAUGGCGUCUAAAGGCUUGCAUUUCAUUUGUAACACUAUUUUCAUGUUAUAAUUUUGAUAGAUAUGAUUCUUGUAAAAAAGUGUCACCAAAAAAAAAAAAACAAAAUUCCCAUUCGUUUACGGAAAAAUCCCAAAAUAUGUUUACAAACAAAACUUGAACGCCAGCAAAAGUUUUAGCAAACUCACAAGUGAAAUAACAGAAUUACUUCAGCAGUUCAAAAGGAGAAUGUGCAUAAUAAUGUAAGUGAGACUCUGUUUCUCAAACAUCCUACAGAUGUGGUUUGCACCACAACGUCGGUAAAUUGAACAUUUUAACGUACAAGAAAUACUGCAGCAGCCCAAGUUGGCUAAUGAAAAUCCAUCAAUCUUAUCUCAUUAACCCUUUUCUGUUGAUGUUCUUCUAGUAGGGUUUCAGAAUACCAACACAUUAUUUCAUCGGCUUCUUAAUCUGCAUCCAUUUCUUCCAAUGCUGCUUUAGCCGCUGCCUUUGCUUCCUCUAGAAGCUCAUCCGGAACCUGAAUAACCAAUAACAAAAUCAUCAAUCUACAGUAUGGC